rnacentral:lncRNA from 1 species
AGGAGGAGGAGCCGACCGGAGAGAGAUGGAGCUUCUGGCCAGACUUCGGAACAAGAAGGACACAACAACCUUGUAAGGUCUUGUAGAGGCGAUAACUGGCAGCCUCUGCCACUGGCGGAUAGCUGAUAUAAGCUAGCAGAUAAGGUUAGGGCAGGAGAUUCUUUGCCCACCGAUUGUGUUCUCUGGCCAGUUUUAAGAUAAUAAAACAGUCUAUGUUUUUCUUCCUUGGAGAAAAGCUGGACAGAGAAAGAGGGAAGCCACCUGACAGCUUGGUGAAGCUAAGCUUCGAGGGGCUAGCGGGAAUGAUCACGAUGCCGAGGAAGGCACUAAGCCAGGAGCGCUGGCAGAGCCCUCGGGAAGGCAAUAGCGUGUUUUAUAAAAUUACACGCAACACAACUUAUAUGCGAAAAUAAAACACAACGAGCUCAUAAGCAGGUGCAGGGAGGACUGCAGGGUGGCAUGCCUUUCUCCAAGGUUUUUUUUUUGUUUUGUUUUGUUUUUUUUAAACUCAUUUAGACACAACAGUUCAGGCUGACCUCUGUUUUGAUGGAUCCUGAGUGAAGGCUACAGUUGGGGAACAACAACAACAACUACUACUACUACUUACUACUUCUACUACUUCUACUACUACUACUACUACUACUACUACUACUACUAGCAGCAGCAACUACUACUACUUACUACUUCUACUACUACUACUAGCAGCAGCAACUACUACUACUUACUACUUCUACUACUACUACUAGCAGCAACUACUACUACUUACUACUACUACUACUACUACUAGCAGCAGCAGCAGCAGCAGGCUGGCUAGAGAGAUGGCUCAGCGGUUAAGAGCACUUAGCUGCUCUUCCAGAGGUUCCGAGUUCAACCUACUUGGUGGCUCACAACCAUCUGUAAUGGCAUCUGAUGCCCUCUUCUGGUGUGUCUGAAGAGAGCAACAAUGUACUCAUAUACAUUAAAUAAAUAAAUCUUUUAAUAAUAAUAAUAAGCCUCAGAAUAUAUGACCAACUUGAUCUUGCUCUGAGCCAAACUAUUUUUCUAUGUCUAUAGUCAAGCUGUUUUUAUGUCAGCAAUAUGGGAUGGCUGGCAGGCAUGAAACAAAGGGGUUACAGCUAAGCUAACGGUUUCAUCAAUGAUCAUGUGCCCUAGAGCCUGGGAUUUACCUUUGAGAAUUCGUAGAUAGAAACGAUGGGUUUGGACUGGGUCUUCUCCUACCAUCCUGUUAGUAUGGUUUAAAUGUCGGGUUUCUUUAACGUUGGUGGAACAGGUCAGAAGCGGCAUGCAUAGAAACAAAGCUCCAAGCUGCUGUCUGAAGCAUCAUUCAGAGUUCCUUUACCCUUUAAGGACCUUCACUCAGAUAAGACUGGUCCCGUGCUUUAACUCAAAAGAAUCUCGGAGUGAGCCAAUAGUGAACCAGAGCCGGCUCUUGUGCUUGUUUCCCUUUGUUUUUUAAGAUUUCAUUUUGGUAUUGGAGAAAUACCUGAACAGUUAAGAGCACAACAGAAAACCCAGGUCAGUUCUCAGCACCCUCAUCCAGUGGCUCACAAGUGUGUGUAACUCCAGCUCCUGACCUGGGAGAAUUGAGAACGCCUGCCUCCCUGUGUGGUGCACAAGCUCCCACAUGGGUGGAUGGUCCUGCACCAUCUUUCCACAUGUUUACAAUUUUUUUAUUUUUUUAUUUUUGGUUUUUCCAGACAGGGUUUCUCUGCGUAGCCCUGAUUGUCCUGGAACUCACUCUGUAAACCAGGCUGGCCUCGAACUCAGAAAUCCGCCUGCCUCUACCUCCCAAGUGCUGGGAUUAAAGGCAUGCGCCACCACUGCCCGGCAUGGUUACAAUUUUUUAUUUUGUCGUUAUAGUUCCUUUUCCAUUUGGUAAAAUCUAGUCAUUUUACCUUGGGACAAAACCUCCCCCUCCCCCCACCCUGUUUUUAAAAUUUUAUUCAUUUUGUUUCUUGUUUUAGAGUGGGGCUUCAUGUAGUCCAGGUUUACCUUAUGCUAUGUAGCC